rnacentral:lncRNA from 1 species
ACGGGAGAUGGAAGUCAAUGCACGGGAAAAAAAAGGAAAAAGUUUGGUGUUAGAAAGAAAGGUUGUCACAUGGGGAAGCUCAACUUUUAGUGGGCGGCAGGGACUCGGUAAAGCAAGUUCCCGCGAGAUUUGCAAUGGGGCAUGGCGAGGACGGAAGUUGGAAUGUUGUGGUGCCGUGGUGAUGAGAGUGGGCCAGGCUUUAGCUGAGGAUAAAGGACAGAGAAAAGUUUAUUAGGGUUGGCCCAACAACUUUGUUUCGCAAAUAGCCGGCCCAUUUAGGUACCUGUCAAACUUCUGUGAGAAAUUUUGGUGCACACUAAUGAAUGCAGAAAGAUUCUCGUUCUUUUUUGGCAGCAACAGCGUCUAGCUUUUGCAUGGGGAUGUGGGCUGGUUCCAUUGGCCGUGGGAGCC